rnacentral:lncRNA from 1 species
AAGGAGGAUAUUCAUAUAGGAUAAAAUUUGAACAAAUUGCUUUCAGAAUUCAUGCAACAAUCUCUCCAAAAAUUGUGCCAGCUGCUCUCUCGUGCUGUAGUUGAAGUCCAGAGUUGAAUCCGCCCAUAUGCCGUGCUUCGGAUCAGAUAUAUAUGCUCUGUGCCUACUGCCUGGAAACAUCUGAGUUUGUGGCCUCUGCUGAAUACAAAUACAGAGACUCAGGUUAGCCCUAGUCAACACCUUCUCCAUUAUCAGGAGUAUCUGGGAUACUGGCCAUAGAUUGAUGCUGUGAUGGACCACUCCAGGAGACCUGGAGCUUCUUUAGGCUACGUCUUCCAGGCUUCAUGAACACCAUGGAAUCCCUUGUACUAAGAUCUAAAGAAGCUUCAAGUGGUCAGCCCUCCAGAGGAGGUUGAUCCAUAUCUGAAUUCCAUUCCUUAUCAUCCCAGGAAAAGUUUGUAUCUUACCCCAAGGAAGUCACUGAAUUGAGAGCCAGUGGACCUGGGAAGAAGGCUGGUAGAGCAGUGCAAGGUGACCCUCCACUGAGGAUGUGGCAAGAGACUUGUGGGUCUGCAGCCUGUAGGAGUCAAACGAUGGUGAAUCAGCAGAGAAACACUCCUUGGACCAGGAGGAUGAGUCUGAGUUACAUUCACUUUGUUGUGUAAGGCCAGCAGAACUCAGGUGCCCCAGGAGGACUCAGGCCAUUGUCCUAGGUCAACCAAUGCACACAGCAUCCCAGUACAAGGUCAGUGGACCCCUUGUUCUCACUGAGAACUCUCAUACACUAGAAUGCCAAGUUAGGGGGAGAGGCAGAGGCAACCUGGGAUCCUGAGCAUCCUUUCUUAGAGAGACUGAACACUGUUUUAAGGAGCCAUUAAAAUUACUGACUCAGAUUAUAUCUAAAG